AUGGGAGGGGCGGUCGAACGGGGUGCGUUCAUUUAUGUUUCAUGCAGGGCAGCACUUUACCUGGCCAAGUUAACCUCUCCCUGAGCUCGAAUUUCCGAAGAGCCAACGUAUGGACAGAUUCCUAGCAGGAUUACUGGCUAUACAGUCAGCUCCAGAUGACCCAUGUUAUGCUGUGGGAGUCCUAUACCAUACCCCCUCCUUCACUGCGAGAACACCCCUUAAACACCUCCUGGGACAUGCUGCUCCCCAUGAAUGAACCAGAUCUACACCCUCCCAAAAUGACAGAACUUCAAAAAAAAAAUUUGAUCAGUUUGGUCAAGCUGACUUUGUUUUGAACUCUCCUGAAAUUAAUUUGUCUGUUUAUCAUGGAAAUAAACAAGGCUUCCUGUUUGUCUUCCAGCAUGCUAUAAUGUCCAUUGGGACUUUAUGUGUCACUUCGGUUGGUAUUUCCAAGAAGCCCC
ensembl:lncRNA